AACGAACGCUGGCGGCAUGCCUAACACAUGCAAGUCGAACGAAGCCUUCGGGCUUAGUGGCGCACGGGUGCGUAACGCGUGGGGAUCUGCCCUUUGCUUCGGAAUAACAGUUAGAAAUGACUGCUAAUACCGGAUGAUGUCGUAAGACCAAAGAUUUAUCGGCAAAGGAUGAACCCGCGUAGGAUUAGCUAGUUGGUGGGGUAAAGGCCUACCAAGGCGACGAUCCUUAGCUGGUCUGAGAGGAUGAUCAGCCACACUGGGACUGAGAUACGGCCCAGACUCCUACGGGAGGCAGCAGUGGGGAAUAUUGGACAAUGGGCGAAAGCCUGAUCCAGCAAUGCCGCGUGAGUGAUGAAGGCCUUAGGGUUGUAAAGCUCUUUUACCAGGGAUGAUAAUGACAGUACCUGGAGAAUAAGCUCCGGCUAACUCCGUGCCAGCCGCCGCAGUAA
rnacentral:rRNA from 1 species